rnacentral:rRNA from 1 species
UACAGGGGGUGCAAACGUUGCUCGGAAUCAUUGGGCGUAAAGCGCACGUAGGCGGUCUGUUAUGUCGGAUGUGAAAGCCCUUGGCUUAACUGAGGAAGUGCAUCCGAAACUGGCAGGCUAGAGUACUAAAGAGGGUCGCGGAAUUCCCGGUGUAGAGGUGAAAUUCGUAGAUAUCAAGAGGAACACCUGAGGUGAAGACGGGUUGCUGGGCUGACACUGACGCUGAGGCGCGAAAGCCAGGGGAGCAAACGGG